rnacentral:rRNA from 1 species
UGGGACUGAGAUACGGCCCAGCACUCCUACGGGAGGCAGCAGUGGGGAAUAUUGCACAAUGGGCGCAAGCGUGAUGCAGCGACGCCGCGUGCGGGAUGAGCGGCCUUCGGGUUGUAAACCGCUUUGAUCGGGAGCAAGCCUUCAGGGGAGUGUACCUUUCGAAUAAGCACCGGCUAACUACGUGCCAGCAGCCGCGGUAAUACG